rnacentral:siRNA from 1 species
CCCGAAAAUGGAUGGCGCUUAAGC